rnacentral:misc_RNA from 1 species
GAUGAAGAACGUAGCGAAAUGCGAUAAGUAAUGUGAAUUGCAGAAUUCAGUGAAUCAUCGAAUCUUUGAACGCACAUUGCGCCCCCUGGUAUUCCGGGGGGCAUGCCUGUCCGAGCGUCAUUACUGCCCUCAAGCGCGGCUUGUGUGUUGGGCCUUCGCCCCCCCCGGGGGCGUGCCCGAAAGGCAGUGGCGGCGCCGUGCCCGGUCCUCGAGCGUAUGGGGCUUUGUCACCCGCUCUGGAGGCCCGGCCGGCCGCCGCCGACCCGCCCAGACCUUUAACCGGUUGACCUCGGAUCAGGCAGGGAUACCCGCUGAACUUAAGCAUAUCAUAAGCGGAGGA